GACGAACGCUGGCGGCGUGCUUAACACAUGCAAGUCGAACGGAAAGGCCCUGCUUUUGUGGGGUGCUCGAGUGGCGAACGGGUGAGUAACACGUGAGUAACCUGCCCUUGACUUUGGGAUAACUUCAGGAAACUGGGGCUAAUACCGGAUAGGAGCUCCUGCUGCAUGGUGGGGGUUGGAAAGUUUCGGCGGUUGGGGAUGGACUCGCGGCUUAUCAGCUUGUUGGUGGGGUAGUGGCUUACCAAGGCUUUGACGGGUAGCCGGCCUGAGAGGGUGACCGGCCACAUUGGGACUGAGAUACGGCCCAGACUCCUACGGGAGGCAGCAGUGGGGAAUAUUGCACAAUGGGCGGAAGCCUGAUGCAGCAACGCCGCGUGCGGGAUGACGGCCUUCGGGUUGUAAACCGCUUUCGCCUGUGACGAAGCGUAAGUGACGGUAAUGGGUAAAGAAGCGCCGGCUAACUACGUG
rnacentral:rRNA from 1 species